rnacentral:rRNA from 2 species
CAGACCUCUGAUCAGGAAAGACUACCCGCUGAGUUUAAGCAUAUCACUAAGCGGAGGAGAAGAAACUAACCAGGAUUUCCCUAGUAACGGCGAGCGAACCGGAAAGAGCCCAGCUUGAAAAUCGUUCGCACCUCGAAUUGUAGUCUGGAGAAGCGUCCUCUGCAGCGUGUCGGCCCCAAGUUCCCUGGAAUGGGAUGCCCAAGAGGGUGACAGCCCGUCGAGGCCGGUUUUUUAUUGCUGCUCCACGAGGCGCGAUCUGCGAGUCGGGCUGUUUGGGAAUGCAGCCCUAAGUGGGAGGUAAAUUCCUUCUAAGGCUAAAUAUUGGCA